GCCUACGGGGGGCAGCAGUGAGGAAUAUUGGUCAAUGGUCGGGAGACUGAACCAGCCAAGCCGCGUGAGGGAGGAAGGUACAGAGUAUCGUAAACCUCUUUUGCCAGGGAACAAAGGCGGGGACGUGUCCCCGGAUGAGUGUACCUGAAGAAAAAGCAUCGGCUAACUCCGUGCCAGCAGCCGCGGUAAUACGGAGGAUGCGAGCGUUAUCCGGAUUUAUUGGGUUUAAAGGGUGCGUAGGCGGUCCGUUAAGUCAGCGGUAAAAUUGCGGGGCUCAACCCCGUCGAGCCGGUGAAACUGGCAGG
rnacentral:rRNA from 1 species